CAGCAGCCGCGGGAAUACGUAGGUGGCAAGCGUUGUCCGGAAUUAUUGGGCGUAAAGCGCGCGCAGGUGGUUUAACAAGUCUGAUGUGAAAGCCCACGGCUCAACCGUGGAGGGUCAUUGGAAACUGUUAAACUUGAGUGCAGGAGAGAAAAGUGGAAUUCCUAGUGUAGCGGUGAAAUGCGUAGAGAUUAGGAGGAACACCAGUGGCGAAGGCGGCUUUUUGGCCUGUAACUGACACUGAGGCGCGAAAGCGUGGGGAGCAAACAGGAUUAGAGACCCCUGUAGUCCCUGUCUCUUAUAC
rnacentral:rRNA from 1 species